rnacentral:tRNA from 1 species
AGUUAAUUAGCUUAAAUUAAAGCAUAUAUUUUGAAAAUAUAAGAACGUAUAAACGAUUAACUU